rnacentral:rRNA from 1 species
UAGGGAAUCUUCGGCAAUGGACGAAAGUCUGACCGAGCAACGCCGCGCGAGUGAAGAAGGUUUUCGGAUCGUAAAACUCUGUUGUUAGAGAAGAACAAGGACGUUAGUAACUGAACGUCCCCUGACGGUAUCUAACCAGAAAGCCACGGCUCACUACGUGCCAGCAGCCGCGGUAAUACGUAGGUGGCAAGCGUUGUCCGGAUUUAUUGGGCGUAAAGCGAGCGCAGGCGGUUUCUUAAGUCUGAUGUGAAAGCCCCCGGCUCAACCGGGGAGGGUCAUUGGAAACUGGGAGGCUUGAGUGCAGAAGAGGAGAGUGGAAUUCCAUGUGUAGCGAUGAAAUGCGUAGAUAUAUGGAGGAACACCAGUGGCGAAGGCGGCUCUCUGGUCUGUAACUGACGCUGAGGCUCGAAAGCGUGGGGAGCAAACAGG